GAUGAACGCUGGCGGCGUGCCUAACACAUGCAAGUCGAACGCCCUCUUUUAGAGGGAGUGGCAGACGGGUGAGUAACGCGUGGGAAUCUACCCAGCUCUACGGAACAACAGUUAGAAAUGACUGCUAAUACCGUAUACGCCCUCCGGGGGAAAGAUUUAUCGGAGUUGGAUGAGCCCGCGUUUGAUUAGCUAGUUGGUGAGGUAAUGGCUCACCAAGGCGACGAUCAAUAGCUGGUCUGAGAGGAUGAUCAGCCACACUGGGACUGAGACACGGCCCAGACUCCUACGGGAGGCAGCAGUGGGGAAUAUUGGACAAUGGGCGCAAGCCUGAUCCAGCCAUGCCGCGUGUGUGAUGAAGGCCCUAGGGUUGUAAAGCACUUUCAACGGUGAAGAUAAUGACGGUAACCGUAGAAGAAGCUCCGGCUAACUUCG
rnacentral:rRNA from 1 species